rnacentral:rRNA from 1 species
UACGAAGGGGGCUAGCGUUGCUCGGAAUUACUGGGCGUAAAGCGCACGUAGGCGGCUUUCUAAGUCGGGGGUGAAAUCCUGGAGCUCAACUCCAGAACUGCCUUCGAUACUGGAGAGCUCGAGUCCGGGAGAGGUGAGUGGAACUGCGAGUGUAGAGGUGAAAUUCGUAGAUAUUCGCAAGAACACCAGUGGCGAAGGCGGCUCACUGGCCCGGCACUGACGCUGAGGUGCGAAAGCGUGGGGAGCAAACAGG